CAGGGAGACAACAAAAUGUUUUAUAUUAUUAUUUUGUCACCUUAGGUCGAUCGGUAUCUCACGUUCUUAAUUAUUUUAAGAAUUUCAUUUCCUAAGUUUUUCUAGGUCACACCCAUUAUUUUUCCUGGGCCAUUAGCUCAGGUGGUUAGAGCGCACCCCUGAUAAGGGUGAGGUCCCUGGUUCAAGUCCAGGAUGGCCCAUAUCUCUAUGUUGGGGGUAUAGCUCAGUUGGUAGAGCGCCUGCUUUGCAAGCAGGAUGUCAGCGGUUCGAGUCCGCUUACCUCCACUGAUUACCACCUCUCCCAUAUUUGUAGAAAGGAAAUUUUUUGUGUUGUGAUCAAAUUCUGAACGAAUCUAGCUUCCUAAUGAAAUCAUUAAGAUGCUGGACUCAUUGAAUUAAUUUCAUUGUUUUCAGAGAACCUUGACAACUGCAUAGAUUAUUUUUAAAGACAAUAAGCAUCUUUAAUGAUGCAGAUUUAUUAUUUGUGCUAAUGCAUUAAUAACAAUUCUAUUAAGCUGAUGCUUCAAUUUUGAAGUUAUU
rnacentral:tRNA from 1 species